rnacentral:rRNA from 1 species
GACGAACGCUGGCGGCGUGCCUAAUACAUGCAAGUCGAACGCAGUGGGGACGGGUGAGUAACACGUGGGUAACCUCCCAUCAGAGGGGAUAACACUUGGAAACAGGUGCUAAACCGAUACUGAUGGAUGGCACCGCGGUGCAUUAGCUAGUUGGGGAGGUAACGGCCCACCAGGGCCACGCUGCAUAGCCGACCUGAGAGGGGGAGCGGCCACACUGGGACUGAGAAAGGGCCCAUACUCCUACGGGAGGCAGAAGUAGGGAAGCGUCGGCAAUGGACGAAAUUCUGACCGAGCAACGCCGCGUGAGUGAAGAAGUUUUUCGGAUCGUAAAACUCUGUUGUUAGAGAAGCGGUAUCUAACCAGAAAGCCACGGCUAACUACGUGCCAGCCGCCGCGGUAAUAC